rnacentral:lncRNA from 1 species
CUCUGUAGCAAUGUAAAAUUAUUUCUAGCGUGCGUCUGCUCGGCUCGGAUGUGGUGCUCGAGAGAAUAGAGUGCGCCCGGCACACUGUUCAUGCUGCAAGAGCAGGGCAGCGGAGUGGAUGGCUGUUUGGUGCCAGGCCUUUUCUCGAGAUGGUUGGCAUGGGGCCUCACCUACAACAUCGGUCUUCAUGACGAAUGUAUCGGAUAGAUUGUUCUCAUCCCUGGGGAAGACGGAGGACCAGGGAGGAGAUGGUCUGUGUGUAAGGGU